UACAGAGGGUGCGAGCUUUAAUCGGAAUUACUGGGCGUAAAGCGUGCGUAGACGGUUAUCUAAGUCGGAUGUGAAAGCCCCGGGCUCAACCUGGGAAUUGCAUUCGAGACUGAAUAGCUAGGGUACGGUAGAGGGAAGUGGAAUUUCCGGUGUAGCGGUGAAAUGCGUAGAUAUCGGAAGGAACAUCAGUGGCGAAAGCGACUUCCUGGACCAGUACCGACGUUCAGGCACGAAAGCGUGGGGAGCAAACAGG
rnacentral:rRNA from 1 species